AGAGUUUGAUCCUGGCUCAGAACUAACGCUGGCGGCGUGCCUAACACAUGCAAGUCGAACGGUUCCUAAAAAUGAAAGAGGUUCGCCUUUUUUAUUUUCUGGAAUAGUGGCGCACGGGUGAGUAACACGUAGAUAACCUGCCCCUAAGACUGGAAUAACUUCCCGAAAGGGAGGCUAAUACCGGAUAUGACCACGAAAUGGCAUCAUUUCGAGGUAAAAGGAAAAGCCGUAAGGCCAUCGCUUAAGGAGGGGACUGCGGCCUAUUAGCUAGUUGGCAGGGUAACGGCCUACCAAGGCAACGAUGGGUAAGGGCGCUGAGAGGCGUAACCCUCACACUGGAACUGACAUACGGUCCAGACUCCUACGGGAGGCAGCAGUGGGGAAUUUUCCACAAUGCCCGAAAGGGUGAUGGAGCAACGCCGCGUGGGUGAUGAAGGUCUUCGGAUUGUAAAACCCUGUCAGGUAAGACGAAGGGUCAACUAAUUAACAGGUAGUCGGCUUGACGGUAUUACCAAAGGAAGCCUCGGCUAACUCUGUGCCAGCAGCCGCGGUAAGACAGAGGAGGCUAGCGUUGUUCGGAAUUACUGGGCGUAAAGGGCGCGUAGGCGGUCAGGUAAGUCAGAUGUGAAAUCUCCCUUUGAAACGGGGAAAUGGCAUUUGAAACUACCAGACUGGAGUUUAGGAGGGGAAAGUGGAAUUUCCCAGUGUAGCGGUGAAAUGCGUAGAUAUUGGGAGGAACACCGGUUGGCGAAGGCGACUUUCUGGCCCUAAAACUGACGCUGAGGCGCGAAAGCUAGGGGAGCAAACAGGAUUAGAUACCCUGGUAGUCCUAGCCGUAAACGAUGGACACUAGGUGUAUUCCCUUUUUAGGGAGUGUGCCGAAGCUAACGCAUUAAGUGUCCCGCCUGGGGAGUACGGCCGCAAGGUUGAAACUCAAAGGAAUUGACGGGGGCCCGCACAAGCGGUGGAGCAUGUGGUUUAAUUCGACGCAACGCGAAGAACCUUACCGGGGUUUGAAAUUCGCCUGCAAGCCUGCCGAAAGGCAGGCCGCUUUCGAAGGUGGCGAACAGGUGCUGCAUGGCUGUCGUCAGCUCGUGUCGUGAGAUGUUGGGUUAAGUCCUGCAACGAGCGCAACCCUUGUCCUUAGUUGCCAUCCGUAAGGAGCACUCUAAGGAGACUGCCUCAGAUAAUGGGGAGGAAGGUGGGGAUGACGUCAAGUCCUCAUGGCCCUUAUGUCCCGGGCGACACACGUGCUACAAUGGUCUGUACAAAGGGCUGCAAAACCGUAAGGUGAAGCCAAUCCCUAAAAACAGAUCUCAGUUCAGAUUGGGGUCUGCAACCCGACCCCAUGAAGUCGGAAUCGCUAGUAAUCGCGCAUCAGCCAUGGCGCGGUGAAUACGUUCCCGGGCCUUGUACACACCGCCCGUCACACCACCUGAGUUAGAUGCACCCGAAGAGCCGCUUUAUCGCGGACCCAAGGUGUGUCUGGCAAAGAGGGUGAAGUCGUAACAAGGUAGCCG
rnacentral:rRNA from 1 species